GGUUCUAGUGGCUUAUUGGUUAAAGCGUCCACCUCGGAUGUGAAAGGUCUCGGGAUCGAACCCCGGCCGAGUCA